CGUCACUCCAGUGCCUUGCCGUUCACCUUCGCACCCCUGGGACAGACUACACUCAGUCAUAGGACCUUCUGAAGAGAUCUUUUCACACAUAAAGUCAAUCCUGAGCCCCUCGUGCAGCUGGCUGACGACCACUCGGAGGCCUGUGUGCAGCUCAAAGUCUCCAAAUAUGGCCCAGAUAUUAUGCGGCUCAGCAAUGGAAAGCAGGGACAAGGAUCACACUAAAUCGACGAUUUGGAAUAAGACGGGGGAGACAGGAGACAGAGUAGGCUACGAUUCUCAGCAGCAGAUAUGGAGCUAUGGACUUGAUUAUAUGGGAAUCAGAUAGUUUUUUCUUAC